ACACUACGUGACUGGCCUCGCUCUCGGAUGAAACCAGUGCACUUGCUGUCUGAUCAAAUCCACUAGAACCCUUAUGCUCCAGGCCACUCCUGCUUGCUCGCAUCAACCAAGAACCACUCGAAGCCCGUUUGUAUCCCAGUGCAAGCCUUGUAGCUGUUUGAAUUCUACGCAUCGGGACUUCCAGCAACUCUAUUUCUCUUCUAUUGCUUUAAAUAUAUGGCCCCAUCCAUACGAACCGCUUCCUACUCCCUUGAGCCAUUUUACUUCAUUUAAUUCUAUUGGUCCUAACUCCAAAAAAAAUCACUUAUUUUUUUU
rnacentral:lncRNA from 1 species